GCCUUAUUAGACAUCACCCGUUGACGGUGACAUAACCGAUGAUUUUGAUUGCCUGAAUAGCUUUGGGCGUAUCUUUUAGUUCAUUUGGCUAUACAAUAGUAAGGAUUUUAAUAACAACAGUCGUCAAAAUUUUUUGGUUUCGACAUUCGAAGAAGCAACUCAGCUUUUGAUGCAGUAACAAUAGUGAUUCUACGUAAGAAUAUGCUUCUGCAACUAAGCCUGGCGUGUUCGUUCCUUUUGGGCUGUUUCACAAAGCCCCCCUACAUUCCUGAUUGCUCCUUGGUGCGAUGUAUGGCACCAGAGUGUACCGAUCCAUUCACGCCACCUGGACAGUGUUGUCCUAUUUGCCCACUUUCUGGAUGUGUCGUCAAAGGUGUGCACUACAAAGAAGGUGCUACUGUGCCUUCAAUGAGCACUCACCCGUGCGAAGUGUGCUACUGUAACAACGGGUCCGUACAGUGCGCGUGGAUGAUGUGCCCGGCUUGUGUAGGCGAAGUUCCGCCUGGCCAAUGCUGCCCGGUAUGCGAAUCUGGACCUUCUGAAAUGGAAUAAGGGCAAGGGGUGAAGACCAGAGCGAGUUUAACAAUAGAUUGUUGAAUUUGCUUGAAGUGACAAUAUACGGCUUUAUUUUCAAAAUUCAAAAAAAUAAAAUAAUUACAGUAAAAAAAUGUUUUUGCUUCGAAAAGAUUCAGUAUGAACAGGGUAUACUGAGCAAACCCGUCAUGUUUAAAUAAGUACUUGCGUUGAAAGAAUUUAUAAAUUAAAAUAAAAGUUAAGAAGAACGUGUGUCGAAAAAUGCGAAAUAAGGCAGAUAUUUAAUUCUAAAAUCGAAAA